rnacentral:rRNA from 1 species
GGCUCAGGAYRAACGCUGGCGGCAUGCCUAAUACAUGCAAGUCGAACGGAGGUGCUUGCACCUCAGUGGCGAACGGGUGAGUAACACGUAUCUAAUCUACCUUCUAGCGGGGGAUAACUUUUGGAAACGAAAGGUAAUACCGCAUGUGGAUGUUAUUAUCGCAUGAGAAAACAUUCAAAGAUCCGUUUGGAUCACUAGAAGAUGAGGAUGCGGCGUAUUAGCUAGUAGGCGGGGUAAARGCCCACCUAGGCGAUGAUACGUAGCCGAACUGAGAGGUUGAUCGGCCACAUUGGGACUGAGAUACGGCCCAGACUCCUACGGGAGGCAGCAGUAGGGAAUUUUUCACAAUGGACGAAAGUCUGAUGAAGCAAUGCCGCGUGAGUGAUGACGGCCUUCGGGUUGUAAAGCUCUGUUGUAAGGGAAGAAAACAUAGGAGAGGAAAUGCUCUUAUCUUGACGGUACCUUACCAGAAAGCCACGGCUAACUAUGUGCCAGCAGCCGCGGUAAUACAUAGGUGGCAAGCGUUAUCCGGAUUUAUUGGGCGUAUAGGGUGCGUAGGCGGUUUCGCAAGUUUGAGGUUAAAGCCCGGAGCUCAACUCCGGUUCGCCUUGAAAACUGCGGGACUAGAAUAUCAGAGAGGUAAGCGGAAUUCCAUGUGUAGCGGUAAAAUGCGUAGAUAUAUGGAAGAACACCAGUGGCGAAAGCGGCUUACUGGCUGAUUAUUGACGCUGAGGCACGAAAGCGUGGGGAGCAAAUAGGAUUAGAUACCCUAGUAGUCCACGCCGUAAACGUUGAGUACUAAGUAUUGGGGAUUACCUCAGUGCUGCAGCUAACGCAUUAAGUACUCCGCCUGAGUAGUAUGCUCGCAAGAGUGAAACUCAAAGGAAUUGACGGGGACCCGCACAAGUGGUGGAGCAUGUGGUUUAAUUCGAAGCAACACGAAGAACCUUACCAGGGCUUGACAUACAGUGCAAAGCUACAGAGAUGUAGUGGAGGUUAACAUUGAUACAGGUGGUGCAUGGUUGUCGUCAGUUCGUGCCGUGAGGUGUUGGGUUAAGUCCCGCAACGAACGCAACCCUUGUCGUUAGUUACUAACAUUAAGUUGAGGACUCUAACGAGACUGCUAGUGUAAGCUAGAGGAAGGUGGGGAUGACGUCAAAUCAUCAUGCCCCUUAUGUCCUGGGCUACACACGUGCUACAAUGGCCGAUACAAAGAGUCGCAAUCUCGCGAGRGGGAGCUAAUCUCAAAAAGUCGGUCUCAGUUCGGAUUGAAGUCUGCAACUCGACUUCAUGAAGCCGGAAUCACUAGUAAUCGCGAAUCAGCUAUGUCGCGGUGAAUACGUUCUCGGGUCUUGUACACACCGCCCGUCAAACCACGAGAGUUGGUAAUACCAGAAGUACGUUUCCUAACCGUAAGGAAGGCGCGUCCCAAGGUAGGACUAGCGAUUGGGGUUAAGUCGUAACAAGGUAUCCGUACGGGAACGUGCGGRUGGAUCACCUCCUUU